ACAGCCCCGUACACAAAAAUGCACAUACUGUGAGCUCGAUGAGUAGGGCGGGACACGUGGUAUCCUGUCUGAAUAUGGGGGGACCAUCCUCCAAGGCUAAAUACUCCUGACUGACCGAUAGUGAACCAGUACCGUGAGGGAAAGGCGAAAAGAACCCCGGCGAGGGGAGUGAAAAAGAACCUGAAACCGUGUACGUACAAGCAGUGGGAGCACGCUUAGGCGUGUGACUGCGUACCUUUUGUAUAAUGGGUCAGCGACUUAUAUUCUGUAGCAAGGUUAACCGAAUAGGGGAGCCGAAGGGAAACCGAGUCUUAACUGGGCGUUAAGUUGCAGGGUAUAGACCCGAAACCCGGUGAUCUAGCCAUGGGCAGGUUGAAGGUUGGGUAACACUAACUGGAGGACCGAACCGACUAAUGUUGAAAAAUUAGCGGAUGACUUGUGGCUGGGGGUGAAAGGCCAAUCAAACCGGGAGAUAGCUGGUUCUCCCCGAAAGCUAUUUAGGUAGCGCCUCGUGAAUUCAUCUCCGGGGGUAGAGCACUGUUUCGGCAAGGGGGUCAUCCCGA
rnacentral:rRNA from 1 species